AAGAAGAAGAAGGAGAAGGAGAAAUGGAUUUGGAGUCGGUGAAGAGAUACCUGGAGAAAGGCGGACGAGAAGGCGAAGAUGACAAGAACCGAUCAACCAUCGAAGGAAUGCCUCUCAGAUUCUUCGAACGCUUCAUAAUGCAAGGCCUUCACGUUGACCUUAUUGAACCCGGCCGUAUAGUUUGCUCCAUGAAAGUCCCUCCUCGCCUACUGAAUGCUGGCAAUUUCUUGCAUGGUGGAGCUACGGCCACGCUCGUUGACUUGGUGGGUUCAGCUGUAAUAUACACUGUUGGAGCCCAAUUUACCGGAGUUUCGGUGGAAAUCAACGUUUCAUACUUGGAUGCUGCUUAUGUCGAUGUGGGUAUCUUUUCUUCCCUCUUAUUUUACUUUGUUUUAUUUUCUUCUCAGUUUGAAUUGGGUAUUUCUUAAAUGUUUGAUAGAUUCAAGGGAAAAGGGGGGAAAAUCGAUCUAUUGCUCGUCUUUAGGUUUGAUUGACGUCUAUGCAUGGUGUUUUACCGUAAAGAGGGGCAGUUCUUUAACUCUAUCUCUUUGUGCUUGUAGUGGUAUCAAUACCAACUUAAUGGAUGCGAAUUUUGAUCCACAAAACCUGAAAUUGUUAAGAAAAGAAAAAAUUAUUAUCAUUUAUUAUCAACCUAAGACCUUACAAGCCCCGUAAUAGUUUUAUAUGAGUGAUUUCACCUAUGAUAUGAGCUCAAUGCCUGCCAUUAACCGCCUUCUAAGGCUGACCUAGCUGCCUAGUUUAUGAAAUUGCAUAAUUCUUAAAUAGCAUGAAAAAAUACUCGCUCUCUAGAAAACUGAAAAACAAUUAAUUGUAGGAUUGGUAGCAUAUCUCUUGUGUGGGAAUCACUUGUUUGGAACUUAUAUUAAACAAAGCUUCAAUCAAUCUAUUGGGGUCAGCUAUCUGGAUUCUUUUCCUCUGUUUCACUUUUAGUUCUAUGGAAAUGCAUAGAGUUGCUAAAUCAUUUUCCACUACAUCACCCCACAUUAUAUUUUGUCUACCCCUUAGUUUCUUCUCUUUGCAAGUUCAAUAUGCUUAAACCUUUUGUACCAGUGCAUUUGCUAGUCUAAAGAGUACAUGUUCAAACCAUCUUAAUUGCUGGUGUUUCAACUUGUGUUUCUUGGGCGCCACUUUCACCUUCUUCUGAAUGCACUUAUGCUAGUUCUUCCACUUCCAUCUGUAGGCUCUCCAAUUAUUUUGGUUUCCUCUUAAAGAUGAUGAUUAGGCUAACCAAAAUCUUUUAAGUUUCCAAUGGAUGGAUGACACUAGCUUCAGCCUUUUUAGAUAUUUUGAGAGAUGCUUAAUGUUAUCCGAAAGAAUUCAGUUUUCAAAAUAUGUACCAUUUUAUAUAUUUUUUUUCUUCUCUUUCCUUGUACAGUAUGGUUAUUGAUAUAAGCCAUAUAAUUUAAUACAGGGCUGAUCUUUAAUGGGGUGAAAGCCCUCUUUUUUCCUUCAAGGUUUUUACCAUCUUCUCCCUGUUCUUUCAACAAGCAGUAUUGUUACUAACAGUAAUGCCUCUGCGUUUGACUACUUUUUGUUUGAUUUAGAAAGAACCUAACAUUUAUUUAUGUAACAAAUUCUUCUGAAGUUUCAUUUCCAUUCUCACUCAGUUGGAGUUGUAUCCCUGGGUUAGUAUUUUUUACAACUUCUAGUUUUGUUUUCUUCUUUACCUAGCUAUCGUGAAGGCUUUGCUUGCUCUUUAUGAAAGGAAAGAAGCAGAUAGGGGGUGGGGAGGCAUAGAUCCUAGUAUUAUGCUUCGGAGAAUGCAUAAAGCAGUAGCUGUUUUACCGAAUGUCUGUACCAUGUUUGAUGAAUGUUGCAUAGCCAUUGCAUUACAUUAGGUUCCAUAUUCCGUGCAUACUUUCAAAUGUAGUUUGUUUAUAUCUGUUGGAUUUUAGAAUCCUCAUAUUGUAAAAACUAGAAUUUCAAAUUUUGAGGGCAUGUUUUAUAGUUUAAAACAGCUAUGGUCGUUGGCUGUCCUAUGGUCUAUGUCCAGUUUGUUUAACUUCCAGAUUUAAAAUAUUUGUAUUUUAGCAGUCUUUAUAGUAGCAAGACUAGCAAGUCUGAAAAAAACUGUAACUUGGUGGGCAAAAAGAUCAUUAAUGUGAAAUCUCUUCUGCUCAAUGUAUUGUUUUUCCAUGUGAGACUCGUAAAAAUUCAAAUCAAGACUAUUUGUGUUUUCUAUUCUUUUAUCAACUAGUUCUUUACUCUCUUUCCUUUAUUUUUAUUCGGCAAAAUGUUCAAUUUUGCCCCUAUACUUAUUAGCAAAGUUCAAUUUAACUCAUUUUCAACUUUUUGUCCAAAUUAAUAAAAAAUUUUAAUUUAAGCUCAAUUUA
rnacentral:misc_RNA from 1 species